rnacentral:lncRNA from 1 species
AUUUGGAGAGUAGAAAACUUACUAAAGAAAGACCAUAAUCAAGGAGUUAAUCUCUGAAACACAGACACCAGGUGAAUCUGGAGCAUUUGGAGAGGAAAGCUAAGUUAGAAGGAGUAACACAGCAGUGUCCCUUUACAGAGGGGGCUCAGCUGCAGGGCUGGCAAGGGCAAGGCAGCUGACGCGGAGAAGAGAGACUCUCUGAGAUCCAGCGGAAAGCUGAGCCGCAGCACAAGGACUGUUGUGAGCUUGAGGAGGUCUGCUCCACAGCUGGAGGAUGCUCAAGUGUAGUGGGGAACAUGAGCAGAGCUGUCUAGAGGGUAGGACUGUGCAUGGACCGUCCCUCUCCAGGACAGAAAACCUGCUGUUACUCCUGAAUCAUUCUUAUGAACCAGGCAUGGUCACCUGUUCUAGUUGUGAAUCGG